rnacentral:rRNA from 1 species
CUGCGGGGGGCAGCAGUGGGGAAUAUUGCGCAAUGGGGGAAACCCUGACGCAGCAACGCCGCGUGGAGGAUGAAGGUUUUCGGAUUGUAAACUCCUUUGAUGAGGGAAGAAAAAAAUGACGGUACCUCAAAAACAAGCCACGGCUAACUACGUGCCAGCAGCCGCGGUAAUACGUAGGUGGCAAGCGUUGUCCGGAUUUACUGGGUGUAAAGGGCGUGUGGGCGGGACUUCAAGUCAGAUGUGAAAUUUCAGGGCUCAACCCUGAAGCUGCAUCUGAAACUGUAGUUCUUGAGUGCUGAGAGGAAAGUGGUAUUCCUAGUGUAGCGGUGGAAUGCGUAGAUAUUAGGAGGAACACCAGUGGCGAAGGCGACUUUCUGGACAGUAACUGACGCUGAGGCGCGAAAGCGUGGGGAGCAAACAGGAUUAGAUACCCCUGUAGUC